CUGUUACUAUCCAUGUGUGAAAUUACCAUUUUAAGAUGUUUUGGAGAUGUUGCAGCAGUUGAUUUCCGUAGUGGUUCUGCAAAGUGAUGUCGAAAUUGUUGCUAUUCCUGCAAUCCAGAGAUGGUGAGCUGAACGAGUUUGUUUUGGCAUUUGUCUCUCUGUUUGAUGAUGCUGUUUAACUGAACCUGAAAGAUGGACCCUAUUGAAACAGAAACGGAGCUUGCUAUGCUCAAGUCGCAGUGGAAUACAUUUUCAGUGACCUAAUGAAUUCUCAUGAUAGUUUGAUUCUCAAAUGAUGUUAGUUUACUUAUGUGGUGUUGAAGUAUAUUAAUCUUACGUUGAUUAGAAAUCAAAAUUUUGGCCUAUGAGGUUUUAUUUAUCUAUUAGCUUAAGAUUUUGGAGUGAUUGGCUCUCUGAGUUAGUAAUAUUCUAGCUAUGUAGUUUGCGCAAUUGGAUUUUUGAAGGUUAUGGAGUUGGGGUGAUAGCAAAAAGCUAUGUAAAAUGUAGCUUAGACUUUUCCAUAAUAGUUGUUAUCAAAAAGCUGUAGAAAAUGUAGCUUAGACUUUUCUCUCUGCUGGAGAUUAGUUUAUUGCAGUACAUCUACUAGUUGGACCUGGCUAAUAAGUGAAGCUAUUAUUGUCCUUUUAGGUUCUGUUUACUAUUUUCUACCUCUUUUUUGGGUGGUUUUCUUUUUAUUACAACAUUAACUAAAUUUGUAGGACCUAAAUUUGUAGACCUAAAGUAUUAUUUUCUUGUCUACGUUACAUUUCAAAGUUUUGCGCAUAAUUACUAUGGUUAAGUUCUAAGAUCAUCAUUUUAUUAAGACCUAAUGUAAAUCUCCUGUUGCAUUUAUAGGGUGCUUUGUGUAAUCAUACUUCUAUACCUUAACUUAUUGUAGGACCUAAAUUUGUUAGUAACUUUCUUCUUAUGGUAUGGCGUGGUGUUGGAGAUUGAUGUAAGUGACUUUCUAAUCAUAAUUUUAAGAGGCUCUUUUUGUUUGAUUUUGUUAGUAACUUUUUGUUUGAUUUCAUUGUGAGAGUCAUGUACAUGAAGACAUGGUCCGAGCUAUCAAAAAGAUGAUUUUUGAUAUAGAAGUAGUUUUGCAAGUAUGGCAUCUACCACUAAGCAGGUAAUAGAAUUUAGUUGGUUAAGCUGAUUGCCGAGUUGCUUAUUGUUCUUCUUAUUUUACAGAUUAAGAGUUUACUCAUUCAGUCAUAUGCACGUCGUGGGUUGAUGCAUUUGCGAAGGUAUUGACCUCAUAAAAUGGGACAAGGCUAAAAUCGGUUACUAUGUUCGUGUUGAUAUUGCUGAAGGCUCAGUCCAAGUAUAAAUCGUGGAGCGAUCAGAAUGCGUUUAUGCCUUUUUUGAUUUUGUU